rnacentral:piRNA from 1 species
AAGCAAAUCACACCUGCCAUUCUUGGAC